GACGAACGCUGGCGGCGUGCUCAACACAUGCAAGUCGAACGGAAAGGCCCUGCUUUUGUGGGGUGCUCGAGUGGCGAACGGGUGAGUAACACGUGAGUAACCUGCCCUUGACUUUGGGAUAACUUCAGGAAACUGGGGCUAAUACCGGAUAGGAGCUCCUGCUGCAUGGUGGGGGUUGGAAAGUUUCGGCGGUGGGGGAUGGACUCGCGGCUUAUCAGCUUGUUGGUGGGGUAGUGGCUUACCAAGGCUUUGACGGGUAGCCGGCCUGAGAGGGUGACCGGCCACAUUGGGACUGAGAUACGGCCCAGACUCCUACGGGAGGCAGCAGUGGGGAAUAUUGCACAAUGGGCGGAAGCCUGAUGCAGCAACGCCGCGUGCGGGAUGACGGCCUUCGGGUUGUAAACCGCUUUCGCCUGUGACGAAGCGUGAGUGACGGUAAUGGGUAAAGAAGCACCGGCUAACUACGUG
rnacentral:rRNA from 1 species